UAGGGAAUCUUCGGCAAUGGACGAAAGUCUGACCGAGCAACGCCGCGUGAGUGAAGAAGGUUUUCGGAUCGUAAAACUCUGUUGUUAGAGAAGAACAAGGACGUUAGUAACUGAACGUCCCCUGACGGUAUCUAACCAGAAAGCCACGGCUAACUACGUGCCAGCAGCCGCGGUAAUACGUAGGUGGCAAGCGUUGUCCGGAUUUAUUGGGCGUAAAGCGAGCGCAGGCGGUUUCUUAAGUCUGAUGUGAAAGCCCCCGGCUCAACCGGGGAGGGUCAUUGGAAACUGGGAGACUUGAGUGCAGAAGAGGAGAGUGAAAUUCCAUGUGUAGCGGUGAAAUGCGUAGGUAUAUGGAGGAACACCAGUGGCGAAGGCGGCUCUCUGGUCUGUAACUGACGCUGAGGCUCGAAAGCGUGGGGAGCAAACAGG
rnacentral:rRNA from 1 species